rnacentral:rRNA from 1 species
GACGAACGCUGGCGGCGUGCUUAACACAUGCAAGUCGAACGGAAAGGCCCUGCUUUUGUGGGGUGCUCGAGUGGCGAACGGGUGAGUAACACGUGAGUAACCUGCCCUUGACUUUGGGAUAACUUCAGGAAACUGGGGCUAAUACCGGAUAGGAGCUCCUGCUGCAUGGUGGGGGUUGGAAAGUUUCGGCGGUUGGGGAUGGACUCGCGGCUUAUCAGCUUGUUGGUGGUGUAGUGGCUUACCAAGGCUUUGACGGGUAGCCGGCCUGAGAGGGUGACCGGCCACAUUGGGACUGAGAUACGGCCCAGACUCCUACGGGAGGCAGCAGUGGGGAAUAUUGCACAAUGGGCGGAAGCCUGAUGCAGCAACGCCGCGUGCGGGAUGACGGCCUUCGGGUUGUAAACCGCUUUCGCCUGUGACGAAGCGUGAGUGACGGUAAUGGGUAAAGAAGCACCGGCUAACUACGUGCCAGCAGCCGCGGUGAUACGUAGGGUGCGAGCGUUGUCCGGAUUUAUUGGGCGUAAAGGGCUCGUAGGUGGUUGAUCGCGUCGGAAGUGUAAUCUUGGGGCUUAACCCUGAGCGUGCUUUCGAUACGGGUUGACUUGAGGAAGGUAGGGGAGAAUGGAAUUCCUGGUGGAGCGGUGGAAUGCGCAGAUAUCAGGAGGAACACCAGUGGCGAAGGCGGUUCUCUGGGCCUUUCCUGACGCUGAGGAGCGAAAGCGUGGGGAGCGAACAGGCUUAGAUACCCUGGUAGUCCACGCUGUAAACGGUGGGUACUAGGUGUGGGGUCCAUUCCACGGGUUCCGUGCCGUAGCUAACGCUUUAAGUACCCCGCCUGGGGAGUACGGCCGCAAGGCUAAAACUCAAAGGAAUUGACGGGGCCCCGCACAAGCGGCGGAGCAUGCGGAUUAAUUCGAUGCAACGCGUAGAACCUUACCUGGGUUUGACAUGGAUCGGGAGCGCUCAGAGAUGGGUGUGCCUCUUUUGGGGUCGGUUCACAGGUGGUGCAUGGCUGUCGUCAGCUCGUGUCGUGAGAUGUUGGGUUAAGUCCCGCAACGAGCGCAACCCUUGUUCACUGUUGCCAGCACGUUAUGGUGGGGACUCAGUGGAGACCGCCGGGGUCAACUCGGAGGAAGGUGGGGAUGACGUCAAGUCAUCAUGCCCCUUAUGUCCAGGGCUUCACGCAUGCUACAAUGGCUGGUACAGAGAGUGGCGAGCCUGUGAGGGUGAGCGAAUCUCGGAAAGCCGGUCUCAGUUCGGAUUGGGGUCUGCAACUCGACCUCAUGAAGUCGGAGUCGCUAGUAAUCGCAGAUCAGCAACGCUGCGGUGAAUACGUUCCCGGG